rnacentral:rRNA from 1 species
UACGUAGGGUGCAAGCGUUAAUCGGAAUUACUGGGCGUAAAAGCGUGCGCAGGCGGUUAUGUAAGACAGAUGUGAAAUGCCCGGGCUUAACCUGGGAACUGCAUUUGUGACUGCAUGGCUAGAGUUUGGCAGAGGGGGGGUAGAAUUCCACGUGUAGCAGUGAAAAUGCGUAGAUAUGUGGGAGGAACACCGAUGGCGAAGGGCAGCCCUUCUGGGGCC